rnacentral:rRNA from 1 species
UACAGAGGGUGCAAGCGUUAAUCGGAAUUACUGGGCGUAAAGCGUGCGUAGACGGUUACAUAAGUCGGGUGUGAAAGCCCCGGGCUCAACCUGGGAAUUGCAUUCGAGACUGCGUAGCUAGGGUGCGGAAGAGGGAAGCGGAAUUUCCGGUGUGAGCGGUGAAAUGCGUAGAUAUCGGAAGGAACACCAGUGGCGAAAAGCGGCUUCCUGGUCCAGCACCGACGUUCAGGCACGAAAGCGUGGGGAGCAAACAGG